GUUUUGCAACAGCUGGAGGCACAUGGGUUGGGACACACUGCUUAAGAAUUUCUAAUGUCAGACACUGAAGACAGCGGCGUCUCACCUGAAGAACGUGACGAAGAACUGCACCAGGUCCAUGAUGGUGUUGUGCUGGGAAAAGGCGAUCUGCAAGACAAAAUCACAGAAUCCAGACUUCGGAGGUGGAUAGUGGAAAUUUUUCUUUCGACCUUUCUGCGCCUUUGAGUUGAUCCGCGGGGCCCAGCCCACCUGCAGGAGCAGAACAUAUGUUGCAGAAGGCAGCGGGACCCCCGGACGCGCUCCACCUGACAGCAGAGGUCACGAGCGGACGCGCUUAACCUUCAGGAAAAAUCAUCUGCGAGCACAAAGCCAAAAACUGGGGAAAAGACAGAAUAAGACGGCGGCUAGAGGAGCUGCGGCCUAAAUCACCGGGGCGAUGAAGACUGCAACCACAUCCGGUCCAUUAUAAAAAUAGGAUUAUACUCCACUCACACCCAGAGCUGCAUUUAUAAUUCUGCUAUUACAAGAAAAAAGUUCCCUUGUUAUCAUCUCAAAGAACUUAGUAGAUCUCCCAUAAGGCAUUGCAGUGUAAUACAGGAGAUGGUAAUGUAGUAGUAAAGUCAGCUGCACCUGCUUCUCCUAAGCCUGUAGGUGGCAGCG